CGCGCUGGCCCCGCCCCCACCAAUCAGGGCUGCAGGCUGCAGGCGCGCUUCCGCUCGCACGCGGCGCUCCGGAAGUGUGAUGUGGCUGGGAGCGGGUCGCCAUGUCUGCCAUCUUCAACUUUCAGAGCCUACUGACUGUAAUCUUGCUGCUAAUAUGUACCUGUGCCUAUAUCAGAUCUUUGGCUCCCAGCUUACUGGACAAAAAUAAAACUGGGUGAACGGAAGAGCCCAUAUGUAGCUGUAUGCUGUGUAGUGAUGGCCUUCAGCAUUCUGUUUGUACAGUAGCAUUUGGGGAACGUCUCCUGUAACUUACUAUCAAACAGCAAAGAAUGCAAAGAACUUUUGGCAGAAAAGAUACAGUGUCAUCAACUAUUCUCUCACAGGUUGGAUGCCCUGUCUCUUAGUGGACACCCCCAGCUCCUGCAAACGGACCAUAGUGUACAGUAUUAGUGAUCAUAAUGUAACUAACUCCAGUAUGAUGUGUACUUACUAAUGUCAAGUCAGUACUGGCACUGCUGAUGUAACUCUUUGAAAGUUGUCUGUUGCAUAUCUGAGUUCCAGGGGAGUAUUUUUUACAACAUGCAGUUGAAAAAGCAUUUAAUUUUUUGUUUGAUAGACCUAUUUUCUGAAACUUAAAAAUGGCAACUCUGUAUAGCAAUAAGACCACUCUUAUAAAGAACAUUGUGAUUGUAGGAUAUGUUUACAAAAGUAUUUUCAGUUCAUUACGGUCUAAACAAUUCCUGUCAUUUUGUGACAGGUAAAUUGACAUAUUAAAAAUAUCACUUCUGGCUUAAGUUAUACUGAGCUUCUUUUAAGCUUGUAACUGCUCAAAUAUUCUAUAAUAUUUUUAUUAUUAAGAUAAAAUAUGAAUAAAGGUAGGGACCAUAAUUGUAGUGAUGGCUGACUACCUGCUAAGAAUGCACAAAUGUGGGAUUUGAGAAUCUUGAUCUGGAUUUGUAUAACUCAUAUAUAUUCAUUUACGUUUCAGGUAGAGCAUUCCCCAAUUUUUUCAAUAUUGUGACACAAAGUUGCUAAUGGCUCUGCUGCGCUGGGUGAUACAUGUAAUACCAUUUCCUGAUCUGCAGACUUCUAAGAAGCUAUUUUGUCCACAUAACUGAUUUAGCAACCUCCUAAGUCCUAGUGUUCUAAAGGUUAAAGAAAAUGACUAAAUUAGAUUACAUUUACUGUUAAUAAAGAUUAGAUUACCUUUAAGACUUGCAUUUCGUGUUUCCUCUAUAAUUUUGCAAACUUUUCAUAAUUUAGUAACUUAUUUUAAUAGUGCCUAAUAGGAUUGUUUACACCAGACAAUUGUAUAACUUCAUAUUGACUGCAUUUGAGAGAGUUGUCUGUCAACAGUAUUUUCUGUUAUUCUGAAAAGGUAUGUGAUGAGAGUGAGCUAAGCUGGCAAUAAAACACACUAAAAGGUA